UUGUGGAUGUAUAAAAAAAUGAAUUGGGAGAUGAUCAUAUUGGUUGUCUUUGUCACUAUAGACAUGGUCAAAGUUGUCACAAAAUUUGGUUAUAUCUUACUUCUUAUUUGCACCAAGAUGUUAUAAGAAGUUGGAUACCCUGCAUUAAUCAUGCUUUUCAUUAUUAUCUGGUCAAAUCUUUUUUUAGACCUCACCCCACCC
rnacentral:lncRNA from 1 species